rnacentral:rRNA from 1 species
GAUGAGCCCGCGUUGGAUUAGCUAGUUGGUGGGGCCAAGGCCUACCAAGGCGACGAUCCAUAGCUGGUCUGAGAGGAUGAUCAGCCACAUUGGGACUGAGACACGGCCCAAACUCCUACGGGAGGCAGCAGUGGGGAAUAUUGGACAAUGGGCGCAAGCCUGAUCCAGCCAUGCCGCGUGAGUGAUGAAGGUCUUAGGAUUGUAAAGCUCUUUCACCGGGGACGAUAAUGACGGUACCCGGAGAAGAAGCCCCGGCUAACUUCGUGCCAGCAGCCGCGGUAAUACGAAGGGGGCUAGCGUUGUUCGGAAUUACUGGGCGUAAAGCGCACGUAGGCGGAUAUUUAAGUCAGGGGUGAAAUCCCGGGGCUCAACCCCGGAACUGCCUUUGAUACUGGGUAUCUUGAGUGUGGUAGAGGUGAGUGGAAUUGCGAGUGUAGAGGUGAAAUUCGUAGAUAUUCGCAGGAACACCAGUGGCGAAGGCGGCUCACUGGACCACAACUGACGCUGUGGUGCGAAAGCGUGGGGAGCAAACAGGAUUAGAUACCCUGGUAGUCCACGCC